rnacentral:rRNA from 1 species
UGGGGAAUAUUGCACAAUGGGCGAAAGCCUGAUGCAGCAACGCCGCGUGAGUGAUGAAGGCCUUCGGGUUGUAAAGCUCUGUCUUCUGGGACGAUAAUGACGGUACCAGAGGAGGAAGCCACGGCUAACUACGUGCCAGCAGCCGCGGUAAUACGUCGGUGGCAAGCGUUGUCCGGAUUUACUGGGCGUAAAGGAUGCGUAGGCGGAUACUUAAGUCAGAUGUGAAAAUCCCGGGCUUAACUUGGGAACUGCAUUUGAAACUGGGUAUCUAGAGUGCGGGAGAGGAAAGUGGAAUUCCUAGUGUAGCGGUGAAAUGCGUAGAGAUUAGGAAGAACACCAGUGGCGAAGGCGACUUUCUGGACCGUAACUGACGCUGAGGCAUGAAAGCGUGGGGAGCAAACA